rnacentral:rRNA from 1 species
GACGAACGCUGGCGGCGUGCCUAACACAUGCAAGUCGAACGGAGUCGGCCCCGCAAGGGACUGACUUAGUGGCGAACGGGUGAGUAACGCGUGAGCAACCUGCCUUUCAGUGGGGGACAACAGUUGGAAACGACUGCUAAUACCGCAUAAUGCAUUUUGACCGCAUGAUCGAGAUGCCAAAGAUUUAUUGCUGAAAGAUGGGCUCGCGUCUGAUUAGAUAGUUGGUGAGGUAACGGCCCACCAAGUCGACGAUCAGUAGCCGGACUGAGAGGUUGAACGGCCACAUUGGGACUGAGAUACGGCCCAGACUCCUACGGGAGGCGGCAGUGGGGAAUAUUGGGCAAUGGGGGAAACCCUGACCCAGCAACGCCGCGUGAAGGAAGAAGGCUUUCGGGUUGUAAACUUCUUUUACCAGGGACGAAGAAAGUGACGGUACCUGGAGAAAAAGCCACGGCUAACUACGUG